CUACGGGUGGCUGCAGUGAGGAAUAUUGCACAAUGGGGGGAACCCUGGUGCAGCAACGCCGCGUGGAGGAUGAAGCAUUUCGGUGUGUAAACUCCUUUUAUAUGUCAAGAAAAUGACGGUAGCAUAUGAAUAAGCACCGGCUAACUCCGUGCCAGCAGCCGCGGUAAUACGGAGGGUGCAAGCGUUACUCGGAAUCACUGGGCGUAAAGGACGCGUAGGCGGGUUGGAAAGUCAGGUGUGAAAUCCUACAGCUUAACUGUAGAACUGCACUUGAAACUUCUAAUCUAGAGUAUGGGAGGGGGAGAUGGAAUUAGUGGUGUAGGGGUAAAAUCCGUAGAUAUCACUAGGAAUACCUAAAGCGAAGGCGAUCUCCUGGACCAUUACUGACGCUAAGGCGUGAAAGCGUGGGGAGCAAACAGGAUUAGAUACCCGCGUAGUC
rnacentral:rRNA from 1 species